rnacentral:lncRNA from 1 species
CAGCUUUGGAGAAGACGUUCUCCUCAAUGCUAACGACUAAUGACUAAGACCUAGACAGCAGCAGCUCUACCCAAACUGCCAACUACCAUUCAAGAUUAUUGUGAAGAGAACGUUAUAGAAAGGUUGUAUAAAUUGUCCAACAUGCUACAGAAGUGGAAGUCCUAGAGGAUCCUACAGCAUGACUUCUUUUUUCUCCUUGAAGAGCCUGG